rnacentral:tRNA from 1 species
GCCGGGACAGUCUAGUGGUUAUGACGUCUGCCUUACACGCAGAAGGACGCGAGUUCAAUCCUCGCUCCUGGUA